UACGUAGGGUCCGAGCGUUGUCCGGAAUUAUUGGGCGUAAAGAGCUCGUAGGCGGUGUGUCGCGUCGGCCGUGAAAACCUGCAGCUUAACUGUGGGCGUGCGGUCGAUACGGGCAUCACUGGAGUUCGGCAGGGGAGACUGGAAUUCCUGGUGUAGCGGUGAAAUGCGCAGAUAUCAGGAGGAACACCGGUGGCGAAGGCGGGAUCCUGGGCCAGUACUGACGCUGAGGAGCGAAA
rnacentral:rRNA from 1 species